UACGUAGGGUGCGAGCGUUGUCCGGAAUUAUUGGGCGUAAAGAGCUCGUAGGCGGCUGGUUGCGUCUGCCGUGAAAAUUCACAGCUUAACUGUGGACGUGCGGUGGAUACGGGCUGGCUUAAGUUCGGUAGGGGAGACUGGAAUUCCUGGUGUAGCGGUGAAAUGCGCAGAUAUCAGGAGGAACACCGGUGGCGAAGGCGGGUCUCUGGGCCGAUACUGACGCUGAGGAGCGAAAGCGUGGGGAGCGAACAGG
rnacentral:rRNA from 1 species